rnacentral:rRNA from 1 species
GACGAACGCUGGCGGCGUGCUUAACACAUGCAAGUCGAACGGAAAGGCCCUGCUUUUGUGGGGUGCUCGAGUGGCGAACGGGUGAGUAACACGUGAGUAACCUGCCCUUGACUUUGGGAUAACUUCAGGAAACUGGGGCUAAUACCGGAUAGGAGCUCCUGCUGCAUGGUGGGGGUUGGAAAGUUUCGGCGGUUGGGGAUGGACUCGCGGCUUAUCAGCUUGUUGGUGGGGUAGUGGCUUACUAAGGCUUUGACGGGUAGCCGGCCUGAGAGGGUGACCGGCCAGAUGGGGACUGAGAGACGGCCCAGACGACUACGGGAGGCAGCAGUGGGGAAUAUUGCACAAUGGGCGGAAGCCUGAUGCAGCAACGCCGCGUGCGGGAUGACGGCCUUCGGGUUGUAAACCGCUUUCGCCUGUGACGAAGCGUGAGUGACGGUAAUGGGUAAAGAAGCACCGGCUAACUACGUG